ACCAGACUCCUACGGGAGGCAGCAGUGGGGAAUAUUGCACAAUGGGGGAAACCCUGAUGCAGCGACGCCGCGUGAGCGAUGAAGUAUUUCGGUAUGUAAAGCUCUAUCAGCAGGGAAGAAAAUGACGGUACCUGACUAAGAAGCCCCGGCUAACUACGUGCCAGCAGCCGCGGUAAUACGUAGGGGGCAAGCGUUAUCCGGAUUUACUGGGUGUAGAGGGAGCGUAGACGGCUGUGCAAGCCAGAUGUGAAAGCCCGGGGCCCAACCCCGGGACUGCUCUUGGAACUGCGCGGCUGGAGUGCAGGAGGGGCAGGCGGAAUUCCUGGUGUAGCGGUGAAAUGCGUAGAUAUCAGGAGGAACACCGGUGGCGAAGGCGGCCUGCUGGACUGCGACUGACGUUGAGGCCCGAAAGCGUGGGGAGCAAACAGGAUUAGAUACCCUAGUAA
rnacentral:rRNA from 1 species